AAUAGAUACCCGGGUAGUCCACGCCCUAAACGAUGUCUACUAGUUGUCGGGGGGUAACUCCUUCGGUAACGCAGCUAACCGCGUGAAGUAGACCGCCUGGGGAGUACGGUCGCAAGAUUAAAACUCAAAGGAAUUGACGGGGACCCGCACAAGCGGUGGAUGAUGUGGAUUAAUUCGAUGCAACGCGAAAAACCUUACCUACCCUUGACAUGCCACUAACGAAGCAGAGAUGCAUUAGGUGCCCGAAAGGGAAAGUGGACACAGGUGCUGCAUGGCUGUCGUCAGCUCGUGUCGUGAGAUGUUGGGUUAAGUCCCGCAACGAGCGCAACCCUUGCCAAUAGUUGCUACGAAAGGGCACUCUAUUGGGACUGCCGGUGACAAACCGGAGGAAGGUGGGGAUGACGUCAAGUCCUCAUGGCCCUUAUGGGUAGGGCUUCACACGUCAUACAAUGGCUGGUACAGAGGGUUGCCAACCCGGCGAGGGGGGAGCCCAAGUCCCANAAAACCGNGUCGUAGUCCGGAUUGCAGUCUGCAACUCGACUGCA
rnacentral:rRNA from 1 species